rnacentral:rRNA from 1 species
ACGCUCGACACCUACGGGAGGCAGCAGUAGGGAAUCUUCCACAAUGGACGCAAGUCUGAUGGAGCAACGCCGCGUGAGUGAAGAAGGUUUUCGGAUCGUAAAGCUCUGUUGUUGGUGAAGAAGGAUAGAGGGUAGUAACUGGCCUUUAUUUGACGGUAAUCAACCAGAAAGUCACGGCUAACUACGUGCCACAGCCGCGGUAAUCUGAGCGGGCUGGCAAGGC